rnacentral:lncRNA from 1 species
GAUAUGGCCAUCAUCAGGUGCUCCUUGAUCUCCAUCACCAAAGCACCGGCACGAUCUUCUUUUCACCGGCGCCACACCAUGAUCUCCAUCAACGUGUCGCCAUCGGGGUUGUCGUGCUACUCAUGCUAUUACUACUAAAGCUACAUCCUAGCAAAAUAGUAAACGCAUCUGCAAGCACAAAUAUUAGUAUAAAGACAACCCUAUGGCUCCUGCCGGUUGCCGUACCAUCGACGUGCAAGUCGAUAUUAUCUAUUACAACAUGAUCAUCUCAUACAUCCAAUAUAUCACAUCACAUCGUUGGCCAUGUCACAUCACAAGCAUACCCUGCAAAAACAUGUUAGACGUCCUCUACUUUUGUUGUUGCAUGUUUUACGUGGUGACCAUGGGUAUCUAGUAGGAUCGCAUCUUACUUACGCAAACACCACAACGGAGA